rnacentral:rRNA from 1 species
CUACGGGACGCUGCAGUGAGGAAUAUUGCACAAUGGGGGGAACCCUGAUGCAGCAACGCCGCGUGGAGGAUGACGCAUUUCGGUGUGUAAACUCCUUUUAUAUGUCAAGAAAAUGACGGUAGCAUAUGAAUAAGCACCGGCUAACUCCGUGCCAGCAGCCGCGGUAAUACGGAGGGUGCAAGCGUUACUCGGAAUCACUGGGCGUAAAGGACGCGUAGGCGGGCUGGAAAGUCAGGUGUGAAAUCAUACAGCUUAACUGUAGAACUGCACUUGAAACUUCUAAUCUAGAGUAUGGGAGGGGGAGAUGGAAUUAGUGGUGUAGGGGUAAAAUCCGUAGAUAUCACUAGGAAUACCUAAAGCGAAGGCGAUCUCCUGGAACAUUACUGACGCUAAGGCGUGAAAGCGUGGGGAGCAAACAGGAUUAGAUACCCGAGUAGUC